GGGAGACUUGCCUUUGAGCUCUUGCCAAAAGGUGGAUCAAUGGGCCUCUCCGUACUUUAUUAGUUGAGGCAAUCUGUCCUUACAGCGAAAUUCUGCGCACCAGUCCCUACUGCAAGAAGAUCUCCUCACGCAAUCUUCUGAAGAAGUGAUGUUGGAAAUGGUGGUCAACUGCUGUGGUUUUUAGAAAAAAUGCUACAAACUUUGUGAAUAAGUGUUAAAUCUCUUUUUGGUGUGGCCUUAUGUAUAUUACCUGACCUCGUUUCCUUCAUGUUCAAGUGUGGUGGCAACUUCUACCUUAGCCUGAGAGAAACUUGUGACUCUUUCUUAUGUUGUAGUGUUACUUGUCAAAUACUUUACAUAGGAGAUAAUGCAGGCAACGAAGCUUCUGUUGUUACCUGUUCUGUAUUUCUUUGGAUAAUGUUUUUUCCUUGCAUAUAGUAAAGGAGCCUUAUUUUGACUUUAAA